rnacentral:rRNA from 1 species
GCCCGCUCAGAAACUACAAGGAAUGACGGGGCCGCACAAGCGGUGGAGCAUGUGGUUAAUUCGAUGCAACGCGAAAACCUUACCUGCCCUUGACAUGUCAGGAAUCUUUCAGAGAUGAGAGAGUGCCUUCGGGAACCUGAACACAGGUGCUGCAUGGCUGUCGUCAGCUCGUGUCGUGAGAUGUUGGGUUAAGUCCCGUAACGAGCGCAACCCUUGUCCUUAGUUGCCAGCGGUUCGGCCGGGAACUCUAAGGAGACUGCCGGUGAUAAACCGGAGGAAGGUGGGGACGACGUCAAGUCAUCAUGGCCCUUAUGGGCAGGGCUACACACGUGCUACAAUGGCCAGUACAGAAGGUUGCCAACCCGCGAGGGGGAGCUAAUCCUCAAAAGCUGGUCGUAGUCCGGAUCGCAGUCUGCAACUCGACUGCGUGAAGUCGGAAUCGCUAGUAAUCGCGAAUCAGCAUGUCGCGGUGAAUACGUUCCCGGGCCUU